rnacentral:tRNA from 1 species
GCCCCCGUGGCGGAAUUGGUAGACGCCAGCGACUUAAAAUCGCUUGAUCCGAAAGGGUCGUGCCGGUUCGAGUCCGGCCGGGGGCACCA